GCUGGGCAUGGUCGCACAGGCCUGUAAUCCCAGCAGCAUAGGAGGCUGAGGCAGGAGGAUCGCGAGUUCAAAGCCAGCCUCAGCAAAAACUAGUUACUAAGCAACUCAGUGAGACCCUGUCUCUA
rnacentral:sRNA from 1 species